ensembl:piRNA 21ur-5959 ncRNA
UUGAUAGGGAUUUCCUCGUUC